UUAGAGCCUGAUGAUAUUUGAGUGAUCAGAAGAUUUUGAAUUCUUGAAAGUGUAAAGUCAGCAAUCAGAGCUGGAAUGAUGGUGAAUUAACUAGGAUGCAGCAGCCCUGUGAGAUCUGGCCAAAGCAUCAUCUGGGGAGUCUCAGCCAUUUAUUAGAAUUGUGCCAAGUGGCUUAGAACUUCAGUGUGGUAGCACAUUUGAGAUGGGAGAGAUUAGUGUGUAUGGAUUUAAUCAGAGGCAGGGAAUUUUGGUGGCAUUUGAAGGAGGAGUAGAAUUGGACUAGGUAGAGAUAAGAAUUGUGUUUUACUGGAUAGAGGCGCAGCACAAACAAAGAUAGUAAGAGAAAGAUCAUAGGAAAAUAUUUUGGAAGAGGAGACUACUGUAUUACAAACCACAAGAUGGGGAUUAGUCAAAUCAGCUUAGAUAAAUAAGAUGGAGAAGAUCUAGAUUGGGAGAAAGAGGUGGGGAGAAAAAGGAAGCAAGAGGUGGAAAAUAGGGAACUACAUCAUGUUCUUGGAACGGAGACUAGCACGCUUAAUGGGCUGUUUGGCGAUGAUCAUUCUUAUUGGCAGGGUGAGUAAUGGUGGGGCAAGAAGAUCAGGCUGGGAAGUGUUUAGCUGAUGGUGAUGAAGGCUCCAGUUGUGGGAUGAGUGUAGGAAUGGAGAAAAAGGAGUCUUUUAAAUAAAGAGAUAUAUUGAUAGACUGGAUUCAGAGCGUUGAGGCAAAGAGGAAAUUUAUUUUAUUUUUUUAUUCAUUUAUGACAGUCACAGAGAGAGAGGCAGAGACAUAGGCAGAGGGAGAAGCAGGCUCCAUGCACCGGGAGCCCGACGUGGGAUUCGAUCCCAGGACUCCAGGAUCGCACCCUGGGCCAAAGGCAGGCGCUAAACCGCUGUGCCACCCAGGGAUCCCGGCAAAGAGGAAAUUUAAAGAUGACUUCAAGUUUCCUAGUCUCGGAGAGACUUCAUUUGGAUUACAAAGACCUGAGAUGCCAAAUGUCAGCAAGUGAAAUGUGCCUGCAUGAUACUAAUUCCUGUAAUGACCAGAGCUAAGUAAUGUUCCAGUUACCUCAAAUACAGUUGGACGUCAAGAACUCCAUAAAAUUACUGAGAGAACAAUUUUUCAGGAUUUCCCAGGAAACUCACUUUUUCUAUCCCAGUAGCUUAUAUACACCUUAGAGCAGAAAUUCCUUACCUGUGACAAUCUUCCCAGCAGGAGGUGAGCUCUCAGGUAGCAUAGAUGGAAUGCUUCUUUGUUCGCUGUCACAUAUCCAGUGCUUGAUAUAGUGCCUGGUACAUUAAAGAGUGUGUGUGUGUGUGUGUGUGUGUGUGUGUGUUGAAUGAAUGAAUGAAAAAGGAGAAUCAGUCAGUGUUAUUAAGACCACUCCUAAGAGCAGACUACUUUUUUUGCUCUGUGUCUAUAGGAAAGACCUUCUCUCUGCCACAUUUUUCUCAAGCUAGGCAGGAAUUAUAUAAUAUAGUGCUUCUCUUAUGAUUUGAUAGUACAGGUAUUUUCCAACAUGUCUGUGUAUGUCUUCUGCACUAACAGUUCAGGUUAGAUGGUUACCUGGAAGGGUUCCUAAGCUGGUGUUGCUGAGCUCUUUCUCUAUGGAACACUGACUAGCCUUUAUAUAAACCCUCCUGGGGUAGAAAUGUCUUCCCAUAAUACUUUCCCUACACAUUGUGCCUACUCAUCCAAGAUGAAUCAUAUUUCAAUAUGAAUGUGCCCUAUGAGGUUUGGCUCCCAAGUUUGUGAGUGGAAAGGGAAAA
rnacentral:lncRNA from 1 species